CAAGUUCCAACGGUAGCACAGAGAGCUUGCUCUCGGGUGACGAGUGGCGGACGGGUGAGUAAUGUCUGGGAAACUGCCUGAUGGAGGGGGAUAACUACUGGAAACGGUAGCUAAUACCGCAUAACGUCGCAAGACCAAAGAGGGGGACCUUCGGGCCUCUUGCCAUCAGAUGUGCCCAGAUGGGAUUAGCUAGUAGGUGGGGUAACGGCUCACCUAGGCGACGAUCCCUAGCUGGUCUGAGAGGAUGACCAGCCACACUGGAACUGAGACACGGUCCAGACUCCUACGGGAGGCAGCAGUGGGGAAUAUUGCACAAUGGGCGCAAGCCUGAUGCAGCCAUGCCGCGUGUAUGAAGAAGGCCUUCGGGUUGUAAAGUACUUUCAGCGGGGAGGAAGGUGUUGUGGUUAAUAACCACAGCAAUUGACGUUACCCGCAGAAGAAGCACCGGCUAACUCCGUGCCAGCAGCCGCGGUAAUACGGAGGGUGCAAGCGUUAAUCGGAAUUACUGGGCGUAAAGCGCACGCAGGCGGUCUGUCAAGUCGGAUGUGAAAUCCCCGGGCUCAACCUGGGAACUGCAUUCGAAACUGGCAGGCUGGAGUCUUGUAGAGGGGGGUAGAAUUCCAGGUGUAGCGGUGAAAUGCGUAGAGAUCUGGAGGAAUACCGGUGGCGAAGGCGGCCCCCUGGACAAAGACUGACGCUCAGGUGCGAAAGCGUGGGGAGCAAACAGGAUUAG
rnacentral:rRNA from 1 species